rnacentral:rRNA from 1 species
UACGGGGGGUGCGAGCGUUGUCCGGAAUCACUGGGCGUAAAGGGCGCGUAGGUGGCUUUGUAAGUUUGCGGUGAAAGCCCGGGGCUCAACCCGGGUCUGCCGUGGAUACUGCAAGGCUUGAGUACUGUAGAGGCAGGUAGAAUAUCGGGUGUAGCGGUAGGAAUGCGUAGAGAUCCGAUAGAAGACCGGUGGCGAAGGCGGCCUGCUGGGCAGUAACUGACACUGAGGCGCGACAGCGUGGGGAGCAAACAGG